rnacentral:rRNA from 1 species
UACAGAGGUCUCAAGCGUUGUUCGGAUUCAUUGGGCGUAAAGGGCGCGUAGGCGGCGAGGUAAGUCGGGUGUGAAAUCUCAGAGCUCAACUCUGAAACUGCACUCGAUACUGCUUUGCUAGAGGACUGGAGAGGAGAUUGGAAUUCACGGUGUAGCAGUGAAAUGCGUAGAGAUCGUGAGGAAGACCAGUGGCGAAGGCGGAUCUCUGGACAGAGUCUGACGCUGAGGCGCGAAAGCUAGGGGAGCAAACAGG